CAACUAUUAACAGGCUUAACUGAUGUCUAGAUCGUCAUUAAUUACGACCUUAUUCCCUCCCGCUCAUCGGCGAGCGCCGUUCGUUCAACGUAGCUACAGCACUUUUGGGAGUACUUCUCAUUGGACGGGGGGUACACAAAGCUACAGGUAACGGGUUACCUGUAAUUGGUGGCAUCAGAUCGUGCAAUUGGUGGCAUCCACGGCCGGUGGAGGCUGACACGUGGAGGUUUCCGUCCUUUUCAAAUUUAUAGUACUGCCUAGCAUCAUUUUUCUGAAGGAUCAUAUUGGGGCAAUGCACGUAACAUACACACAUUAUGCGUUGUUUUGGAGACCAACAGAGUGCCUCAGUGAUUCACCGUGUAAAAAUACUAAUGCCUUCAUUUCUAAAUAUAAGAAAUCAUGACUCCUCAUAAGUAAAGAUUCUUAAAGUUUGAGCAAGUUUAUAAAGAAACCUAUUAACAUCUACAAUAUCAAAAAAAUAAAAAAAUUAUAUGUCACGAUGGAUUUAAUUAAACUAAUUUAGAGUUGUAG
rnacentral:lncRNA from 1 species